UACGUAGGGGGCAAGCGUUGUCCGGAAUCAUUGGGCGUAAAGCGCGUGUAGGCGGCCCGGUAAGUCCGCUGUGAAAGUCGGGGGCUCAACCCUCGAAUGCCGGUGGAUACUGUCGGGCUAGAGUGCGGAAGAGGCGAGUGGAAUUCCUGGUGUAGCGGUGAAAUGCGCAGAUAUCAGGAGGAACACCAAUUGCGAAGGCAGCUCGCUGGGACGUGACUGACGCUGGAG
rnacentral:rRNA from 1 species